AAAUGCAUCCAUUAAGGCUGCACAGACGGGCCUAACUACGGUUUCGAAUCUGGACUCAUCAUGGACUCCUCCUCUGAGUCCCAGACAGAACCUGAGAAAACUCUGCACAAUGCAGAGUCCAGAGAGCAUCAUGCCGCCUCGGCUGCCGUAGCGAGUGGUGAUGAGCCCGGCCUUCUGACCCCAGGCAGGAUGAGCCAGCGGCAGGUUAAGGAGAAGGACAAGGAGAGGGAGAAGGAGGCAGGCCUCCAAACCCCCAGCAGGGAGCACAUGGCAUCCCCCUCUGCUCUGAGCCCUGGGGUCAGCUACAGCCACGCUAAGCGAGCUGGAUCCGACUGACUCCUGACUACAUCCAGUUUUCCCCGCUGCCCCCCCCCCUCCUCACCCACCGAGGGAGCUCCCAGCGGCCCAGCGAUGAUGAGGGAGGAGGGCCUGCUAUGCCGUCGCCGCUUCUCCACGUGCGGCGGGACGGCGUCGGUUCGACCUCCGCAUCCGGAUGGACGCAAGCUCAUCCGCAAUGCCUCCUUCGGGGGCUAUAACGAGCUGUCGCCCAUCUCCCUGCCAG
rnacentral:lncRNA from 1 species